GUGCUCAUUUAGGCAACACAUAUACUAAAAUUGGAAGGAUACAGAGAAAAUAAGCAUGGCCCCUGCACAAAGAUGACAUGCAAAUUCCCUAUCUUUGCAUUUUAUGU